rnacentral:rRNA from 1 species
GACGAACGCUGGCGGCGUGCUUAACACAUGCAAGUCGAACGAUGAAGCCGGAGCUUGCUCUGGUGAAGUAGUGGCGAAUGGGUGAGUAACACGUGAGUAACCUGCCCUUGACUCUGGGAUAACUGCUAGAAAUGGUAGCUAAUACAGGAUACGACCCUAGGAGGCAUCUCCAGCGGGUGGAAAGAAUGUCGGUCAAGGAUGCACUCGCGGCCUAUCAGCUAGUGGGUGAGGUAAUGGCUCACCAGGGCGACGACGGGUAGCCGGCCGUGAGGGGGUGACCGGCCACACUGGGACUGAGACACGGCCCAGACUCCUACGGGAGGCAGCAGUGGGGAAUAUUGCACAAUGGGCGCAAGCCUGAUGCAGCAACGCCGCGUGAGGGAUGACGGCCUUCGGGUUGUAAACCUCUUUUAGUAGGGCAGAAGCGAAAGUGACGGUACCUGCAGAAAAAGCACCGGCUAACUACGUGCCAGCCGCCGCGGUAA